AUGAAGGAUAUUCAAGUUCUGAUAGAAAACUUAUUAGAUCAGGAAGAGCUCAUUUGGUUGCAAAGGGGGCGAGCGAAGUGGUUACUGCAUGGGGACCGAAAUACAUCUUAUUUCCAUAGAGCUGCAUCAGCCCGAAAAAAGAAGAAAUACAUCAAAAAACUGUUAGAUGACACAGGGGUUUGGAAGGAGAACGCAGAGGAUAUCAAUGGCAUUAUCUCAGAGUAUUUUUCUUCUUUGUUUACCUCGCAAGUACACCUGCCGGAUCAGGAUGUGUUAUCCAAGGUACAGCAACGUGUUACACAGGGUAUGAAUGACCUGCUGAUGGCACCAUAUACUGCGGAGGAAGUUAGAAAAGCUAUGUUCUCAAUUGGUGAUUUCAAGGCCCCAGGGCCGGAUGGGCUGCAUGCAGUAUUCUAUAAGCGGUUUUGGCCAAUGUUAGGAGAUGAUCUGGUGAUGGAAGUACUAACAGCAGCGAAUACACAAGUAAUGCCUCUGGGGUGGAAUGACACUACCAUUGUUAUGAUCCCAAAGGUAAAUGCACCGGAAAAAGUUACACAAUUCAGGCCCAUUAGCUUAUGUAAUGUUCUGUAUAAAACUAUCUCCAAGAUGAUUGCAACAAGAUUGAAAGGUUUAUUGCCUGAAAUCAUUAGCCCCACGCAAAGUGCUUUCGUCCCUGGAAGGUUGAUUACUGAUAAUGUACUGAUAGCAUAUGAGAGUCUCCACGCAAUCAAACAGAAAAGGAAAGGCUAGGAGGGGUGGUGUGUAGUCAAAUUGGAUAUGCACAAGGCAUAUGACAGAGUUGAGUGGGUCUUUUUGGAAGCUAUUUUGCUAAAACUAGGGUUUAGGGCUGAAUGGGUUAAAAUGAUAAUGGUUUGUGUCUCUACGGUGGAGUAUAGAGUAAGAUACAAUUUAGUGGAAACGGAGAUAAUCAAACCCUCGAGGGGGUUGCGGCAGGGAGAUCCAUUGUCGCCUUAUUUAUUCCUCCUCUGUACAAAAGGACUAACAGCCCUACUUAACCAUGCAGAGCAUACGGGUGAUUUGGUGGGGCUGAAAGUUUGCAGAGAUGCACCAGGUGUCACAAACCUACUAUUUGCAGACGAUUCUUUAAUUCUGAUGAGAGCAAAUGAGCAAAACGCAAUAUCACUGAAAGCUGUUCUGGAUUCGUAUUGUGGGGCGUCAGGUCAGCUUGUGAGCGUGGACAAAUCCAGCAUUUUCUUUAGUCCAAGCACAGAUGUAGAUGUUAAGGCCUUGGUGUGCUCAACACUAAAUAUCUUGACAGAAGCCAUAAACGAUAAGUAUCUGGGUUUGCCAGCUACGUUGGGGUUGGACAAGACUGAUAGUUUUCAGUACUUGGUGGAUCGGUUGAUCUUGAAACUGACUGGAUGGAAGGAGAAAAGCAUGUCUUCUGGAGGUAAAGAGGUGCUUAUUAAGUCUGUAGCACAAGCCAUACCAACCUAUGCGAUGUCGGUCUUCAAAAUUCCUAAGAAAAUUUGCAAAGGAAUUACAGAUGGGAUAGCUAGGUUCCGGUGGGGUGAUGAUGCAUCACACAAGAGAAUGCACUGGUUUGCUUGGUGGAAGAUGUGUAUACCUAAAAAGAAAGGUGGAAUGGGCUUUAGGGAUAUUCAGUGCUUUAAUCUUGCACUCUUGGCAAAGCAAGCAUGGAGACUUAUCGAGAACCCAGAUUCUCUAUGUGCAAAUAUCCUCAAAGCAAAGUACUACCCUAAUGAUGAUUUGCUGAGUGUUAGUCUAAAAAAGAAAUCUUCGUAUACUUGGCAAAGCAUAAUGGCAGGAGUG
rnacentral:rRNA from 1 species